rnacentral:rRNA from 1 species
GACGAACGCUGGUGGCGUGCCUAAUACAUGCAAGUCGAGCGGACCAAUAGAAGCUUGCUUCUGUUGGUUAGCGGCGGACGGGUGAGUAACACGUGGGCAACCUGCCUGUAAGACUGGGAUAACUUCGGGAAACCGGAGCUAAUACCGGAUAAUUCAUCCCCUCGCAUGAGGGGAUGCUGAAAGUCGGUUUACGCUGACACUUACAGAUGGUCCCGCGGCGCAUUAGCUAGUUGGUGAGGUAAUGGCUCACCAAGGCGACGAUGCGUAGCCGACCAGAGAGGGUGAUCGGCCACACUCGGACUGAGACACGGCCCAGACUCCUACGGGAGGCAGCAGUAGGGAAUCUUCCACAAUGGACGAAAGUCUGAUGGAGCAACGCCGCGUGAGCGAUGAAGGCCUUCGGGUCGUAAAGCUCUGUUGUUAGGGAAGAACAAGUAUCGGAGUAACUGCCGGUACCUUGACGGUACCUAACCAGAAAGCCACGGCUAACUACGUGCCAGCCGCCGCAGUAA